AUUGAACGCUGGCGGCAGGCCUAACACAUGCAAGUCGAACGAGUGGCGGACGGGUGAGUAAUGUCUGGGAAACUGCCCGAUGGCGGGGGAUAACUACUGGAAACGGUAGCUAAUACCGCAUACCAGCGGAUGUGCCCAGACGUGAGUAGCUUGUCGGUGAGGUCACGGCUCACCUAGGCGACGAUCCCUAGCUGGUCUUAGAGGAUGACCAGCCACACUGGAACUGAGACACGGUCCAGACUCCUACGGGAGGCAGCAGUGGGGAAUAUUGCACAAUGGGCGCAAGCCUGAUGCAGCCAUGCCGCGUGUAUGAAGAAGGCCUUCGGGUUGUAAAGUACUUUCAGCGGGGAGGCGUUACCCGCAGAAGAAGCACCGGCUAACUCCGUGCCAGCAGCCGCGGUAAUUC
rnacentral:rRNA from 1 species